rfam:Myotis brandtii contig273334, whole genome shotgun sequence.
GCCAGUAUGGCUCAGUGGUUGAGCAUUGGCCUAUAAACCAAAAGGUCAUGGUUCAAUUCCUGGUCAGGGCA